rnacentral:rRNA from 1 species
GACGAACGCUGGCGGCGUGCUUAACACAUGCAAGUCGAACGGAAAGGCCCUUCGGGGUACUCGAGUGGCGAACGGGUGAGUAACACGUGGGUGAUCUGCCCUGCACUUUGGGAUAAGCCUGGGAAACUGGGUCUAAUACCGAAUAUGAUCAUCGGCUUCAUGGUCGGUGGUGGCAAGCUUUUGCGGUGUGGGAUGGGCCCGCGGCCUAUCAGCUUGUUGGUGGGGUAAUGGCCUACCAAGGCGACGACGGGUAGCCGGCCUGGGAGGGUGACCGGCCACAGUGGGCUGGGGUAGGGGCCAGGACCCCAUCGGGGGGAAGGGGGGGGAAAAUUGCGAAAAGGGGCGGAGUCCGUGUGGAGGGACCCCGGGUGGGGAAAGACGGCUUUGGGGUUAGAACCCUUUUGAAAGAAAAGAGGAGCGCAAUGACGGUUAUGUGAAAAAAAGGGACGGCCAACUAAGUG